rnacentral:misc_RNA from 1 species
AUAACUACUAAACAUCCAUGCUCAAAGGUCCACACACUCCACACCUCCAAAAAUCAAUACGGAUUGUACCUGCGCCCCCCUCGGUUGUCUUCAUUUUUCCUUCCCCCACCAGAAUAGCUGCUCCGUCCACUGCCUCUCGGGGGAGCUACUGGAGCUCCUGGCUGUUGCAUGACAUAUGCGAGCCGUCCGUCAGGUAAGAUCAUUGGCACCAUCGCCAUGCCACCAGGAGCCUGGGGGGGUCUUCCAUACAUCAUCGGCUGUGCAAAUCCCGGAGCAGCAUAACCAUAACCACCACGAGAUGGCUGACUCUGUAACAGGCCACCCUUCUUGUUACUAGAUCCACUGUCAGCUUUUUUAUCAGCUGGGGGCUUCGCAAGGGAACACUCCAGAACUUCACCAUCAAGUUCGUAUUUCUCAGUGUCCUUGAGAGCCUUCAUAGCAGCUGAACGCUCCGCAAAAUGCACAAAGCCAAACCGCUUCUCCUGUCCAGACUUCGCCGGAGGAAG